AUCCAGUUGACGAGCUCCAAAAUAGAACGAGACGUAUGUCCUGGAU
rnacentral:hammerhead_ribozyme from 1 species